AUAAACGCUGGCGGCGCACAUAAGACAUGCAAGUCGAACGGAAGUCGUUAUAUUGAUUUGAAGAGAACGGAGAACUGUUCAAAGGGACAUGAUGAAGAUUAUAACAAUGGCUUAGUGGCGGACUGGUGAGUAAUACGUAAGCAACCUGCCUAUUAGAGGGGAACAACAGUUAGAAAUGACUGCUAAUACCGCAUAUGCCAUAGUAACCACAUGGUUACAGUGGGAAAGGAGUAAUCCGCUAAUAGAUGGGCUUACGGCUGAUUAGCUAGUUGGUGGGGUAACGGCCUACCAAGGCGACGAUCAGUAGCCGGACUGAGAGGUUCAACGGCCACAUUGGGACUGAGAUACGGCCCAGACUCCUACGGGAGGCAGCAGUCGGGAAUUUUGCGCAAUGGAGGAAACUCUUGACGCAGUGACGCCGCGUGCAGGAAGAAGGUUUUCGGAUUGUAAACUGCUUUAGACAGGGAAGAAAAAGGACAGUACCUGUAGAAUAAGCUCCGGCUAACUACGUGCCAGCCGCCGC
rnacentral:rRNA from 1 species